rnacentral:rRNA from 1 species
CAGUAGCCGCGGUAACACGAAGGGUGCAAGCGUUAAUCGGAAUUACUGGGCGUAAAGCGCGCGUAGGUGGUUUGGUAAGAUGGAUGUGAAAUCCCCGGGCUCAACCUGGGAACUGCAUCCAUAACUGCCUGACUAGAGUACGGUAGAGGGUGGUGGAAUUUCCUGUGUAGCGGUGAAAUGCGUAGAUAUAGGAAGGAACACCAGUGGCGAAGGCGACCACCUGGACUGAUACUGACACUGAGGUGCGAAAGCGUGGGGAGCAAACAGGAUUAGAUACCCGUGUAGUCCCUGUCUCUUAUAA